rnacentral:rRNA from 1 species
GAUUUCUGGCUUGAAACAUUUUGCCGGCCACGGUUUCGUGUGUUAGUGCUUGAUGUUCUGGCCAUCCUUCCAAUCGCUGUGUACCUUUCUUCAUUGAUUGGUGCAUGGUAUUGGAUCUUUUACUUUGAAAAAAUUAGAGUGUUUCAAGCAGGCUUUAUGCUAUGAAUACAUUAGCAUGGAAUAAUAAUUUAGGACUUCGGUUCUAUUUUGUUGGUUUCUAGGACUGAAGUAAUGAUUGAUAGGGAUAGUUGGGGGUGCUAGUAUUCAGCGGCCAGAGGUGAAAUUCUCGGAUACGCUGAAGACUAACUUAUGCGAAAGCAUU